CGGCCAAACGGACGCGUGGUAGGGAGACCCCUGCAUUGCUGUAAAACCAGCACCAGAGAAAACCCUCACAGGGAGUGUUCCCUGAACUUUGGAAUUCCCAACCUCUGAAACUGUGUCUAAACUGGAAUCUUCACAACAGCUCAGCACAUCAGAGCCCUCUACCUGCAGGAGCCAUGAAAAAGGAAUUGGCUAAACCUUCCUUACCCCAAGCCUUUGAACCAAGAAUCUGCCAUCUGUACAAUCUUCUGCUGCAUGGACUCAUACUCAGCCAGGAUCCGGGCAAACCUCGUUUGCAGGAGGUCUACUGACCGCUCCAUUUCUGUGUCUGCCUCUUUACAUGCUGGCUAAUACAUGGGUACUGACAUGCCUGGCUCCCCUGCUAGACUGUGAGCUCUUUG